rnacentral:rRNA from 1 species
CAUGCGCUGCGUGCUUAUACAUGUCAAGUGGAGCGACGAACCAGGGCUUGCCCUGGGGCAGAGCCGCGAACGGGUGAGAAACACGUGGGUAACCUGCCCAGAUGACCGGGACAACCCGAGGAAACUCGGGCUAAUACCGGAUGUGUUCACCCCACAUCAGUGGGAUGAGGAAAGGAAGUUUCGGCCUCCGCAUCUGGAUGGGCCCGCGGCCCAUUAGUUUGUUGGUGGGGUAAUGGCCUACCAAGACUUCGAUGGGUAGCUGUUCUGAGAGGAAGAUCAGCCACACUGGGACUGAGACACGGCCCAGACUCCUACGGGAGGCAGCAGUGGGGAAUCUUGCGCAAUGCGCGAAAGCGUGACGCAGCAACGCCGCGUGCGGGAAGACGGCCUUCGGGUUGUAAACCGCUUUCAGUUGGGACGAAGCUUCGCCGGUGAAUAGCCGGCCGGAGUGACGGUACCUUCAGAAGAAGCCCCGGCUAACUACGUGCCAGCAGCCGCGGUAAUACGUAGGGGGCAAGCGUUGUCCGGAAUCAUUGGGCGUAAAGCGCGUGUAGGCGGCUUGGUAAGUCUGCUCUGAAAGCCCGGGGCUCAACCCCGGGAGGCGGGUGGAUACUGUCAAGCUCGAGUCCGGAAGAGGAGUGUGGAAUUCCUGGUGUAGCGGUGAAAUGCGCAGAUAUCAUGAGGAACACCAAUGGCGAAAGGCAGCACUCUGGGACGUGACUGACGCUGAGACGCGAAAAGCGUGGGGGAGCA